rnacentral:lncRNA from 1 species
GAAAAAAGAAAUCAUUCUACGUGUCAAGCCACUGAGAAAGCAGAGUGGUGGGCAGCGGAGAAAGGCAAAGGUAACAUGGCUGAGGGUUGCCAUGUCACCACACAUUUCACAGCCUCCAAAUUUCCAAACUACAUAACUGAACAACUAUUAUCUGCAUGGAAAUUUUGCAAACUUAACUUUGCAAACACAAGGGGUAGGAAGUAUGUAUUUGUGCAUGAGGCAGAGGGAGGACAAAAGCUUAUCAUCACUGGAGUCCCGAGCUCCGUGCUUUCAGAAAAAUAAAAAUAAAAAUCAUCCUAUUGGACCCUGCA